rnacentral:rRNA from 1 species
CUGGGAGGACCAUCUCCUAAGGCUAAAUACUCUCUAGUGACCGAUAGUGAACCAGUACCGUGAGGGAAAGGUGAAAAGCACCCCGGAAGGGGAGUGAAAUAGAACCUGAAACCGUGUGCUUACAAGUAGUCAGAGCCCGUUAAUGGGUGAUGGCGUGCCUUUUGUAGAAUGAACCGGCGAGUUACGAUUUGAUGCAAGGUUAAGCAGUAAAUGUGGAGCCGUAGCGAAAGCGAGUCUGAAUAGGGCGUUUAGUAUUUGGUCGUAGACCCGAAACCAGGUGAUCUACCCUUGGUCAGGUUGAAGUUCAGGUAACACUGAAUGGAGGACCGAACCGACUUACGUUGAAAAGUGAGCGGAUGAACUGAGGGUAGCGGAGAAAUUCCAAUCGAACCUGGAGAUAGCUGGUUCUCUCCGAAAUAGCUUUAGGGCUAGCCUCAAGUGAUGAUUAUUGGAGGUAGAGCACUGUUUGGACGAGGGGCCCCUCUCGGGUUACCGAAUUCAGACAAACUCCGAAUGCCAAUUAAUUUAACUUGGGAGUCAGAACAUGGGUGAUAAGGUCCGUGUUCGAAAGGGAAACAGCCCAGACCACCAGCUAAGGUCCCAAAAUAUAUGUUAAGUGGAAAAGGAUGUGGCGUUGCCCAGACAACUAGGAUGUUGGCUUAGAAGCAGCCAUCAUUUAAAGAGUGCGUAAUAGCUCACUAGUCGAGUGACACUGCGCCGAAAAUGUACCGGGGCUAAACAUAUUACCGAAGCUGUGGAUUGUCCUUUGGACAAUGGUAGGAGAGCGUUCUAAGGGCGUUGAAGCAUGAUCGUAAGGACAUGUGGAGCGCUUAGAAGUGAGAAUGCCGGUGUGAGUAGCGAAAGACGGGUGAGAAUCCCGUCCACCGAUUGACUAAGGUUUCCAGAGGAAGGCUCGUCCGCUCUGGGUUAGUCGGGUCCUAAGCUGAGGCCGACAGGCGUAGGCGAUGGAUAACAGGUUGAUAUUCCUGUACCACCUAUAAUCGUUUUAAUCGAUGGGGGGACGCAGUAGGAUAGGCGAAGCGUGCGAUUGGAUUGCACGUCUAAGCAGUAAGGCUGAGUAUUAGGCAAAUCCGGUACUCGUUAAGGCUGAGCUGUGAUGGGGAGAAGACAUUGUGUCUUCGA